AAGACAAUUUGGCUUGAAAUUGCCCGGUAUGUCCUUUUUCAAGCUGUACCCACUUAUCGGUAAUGUGAACUGAAAUGACAGUUGGCGGCUCCGAACCCCAAAGAGGAGGGGACGAGGCUGAAAAUAUACGAGAUGAUGAUGUUUUGAUAGGCGGGUCCCAUUCAAUCACGUCAACUAACUGGCUCGCGGCGUUCAUCUCUUGUGCACGCUCUGCUAUUUAAUCGACAGUUCCAUUCAACAUUAGAAAGAGUUCAUUAUUGUUGUAGAACACAGCACAUGUACUGCAUACUUUUCUAUAUUGUAUUUGCAUGGCUCGGCGGCGGUCACCCGGCCGGGUGGCUCUGUCCAAACCCCGAAAUGCACUUCCGGCAUGUGUGUGUGCGCUUAUUUUACAAAGCCAUCGUCCAUGAAACGGGACCGGACGCGGCACGAUUGUGGUUCCCAAAUGCUGAUGAAUUUCCCCAAAAUAAAUUGAAGCCAUUUAUUCCUGAAUUCGCCGUCUUUGGCAUGUGACGCGAAGUUUUGCAGAGGACCGAGCUGUGUUGUCACUCAACCGUUUUUCCUGGGUUGAGUGUGCGUGAAGCAACCAACAAGUGGGCAGGUACAGCGGAACCCUGCUGCUGGCAAGCACCUUGGGCCGCGAACUGUGAAAAUCCCUGGAUAAUUGACGGAAAUUAUUUGAUAUUUUUGUUUGUAAGUUUAGUAAGCAAAAAUAUUGGAACAGAGAGAAAAGAGAAAAAAAACAAUCGGCCAAAUCGUCCAUCCAUCCAUUAUCUGAGCCGCUUCUCCUCACGCGGGUCGCGGGCGUGCAGGAGCCCAUCCCAGCUAUCAUCGGGCAUGAGGCGGGGUACACCCCGAACUGGUCGCCGGCCAAUCGCAGGUCGGCCAAAUUGUGAUUAUGCAAUGUCCUUUGUAGUAAGAGAAGAUAACGAUUGGGUUGUUUAAGUUCACAUUUGUUUGGGUGGCACACACACACACACACACGUGCGCACGUUCAUUGUUUUGCAUGAAAUGUCUUCUCCAGCGGGGUUUGUCCUCUCGCUUGAGGCUCUGCCCACCCUCUGAUGUCCGUGGGGGUCCUAGGCCCGCCCCUGGCGUCUGAUUGGUGGGGCAGGGCCAUAAAUGCGUGUACGUGAGGCGACGUUGCUCCCAGUGUGCGUGCUGAACACCAGCGAGAGUCGACAUGGCCAGCUGCUCAGGUUGCGGACCAGGAUACCGGAGCCCGCUCGACGCUAUGAAGGGCGAUCGUGAGAAGAUCGUGUAUCUGCCGUGCAUCUACCGCAACACGUCCACUCGUCAGGCCGACUACUUGGCCACCGUGGACGUGGACCCUGAAUCUUCAUCCUACUGCCAGGUGGUCCACCGUCUUCCGAUGCCCAACAUGAACGACGAGCUACACCACAGUGGCUGGAACGCAUGCAGCAGCUGCUUCGGCGACGCGUCCAAGAAGCGCAACCGCCUCAUCCUGCCCGCCCUCAUCUCCUCUCGGAUCUACGUGGUCGACGUCGGCACUGACCCCAGGAAACCGAGACUCCACAAGACUGUUGAGCCCGUGGACCUGUACUGGAAGUGCGGCCUGGCCAACCCCCACACCACCCACUGUCUGGGUACCGGUCAGAUCCUGAUCAGUUGCAUGGGGGACCCGUCGGGGGGCGGAAAAGGGGGCUUUGUGCUACUGGACGGCGAGACGUUUGAGGUGAUCGGCAACUGGGAGCAUCCCGGCGAGGCCGCCCCCUUCGGCUAUGACUUCUGGUACCAGCCUCGCCACAAUGUAAUGAUCAGCACCGAGUGGGGGGCCCCCAAAGCCCUCGCAGAUGGUUUUAAUCCCGCUCAUGUCGCAGAAGGUCAGUACGGUACUUCCCUCCACGUGUGGGACUGGACCACCCAUAAGAGGGUGCAGACCUUGGAUCUGGGAGAAGAGGGUGCCAUUCCACUGGAGAUCCGGUUCCUCCAUGACCCAAGCGCCACUGAAGGUUUUGUUGGCUGCGCUCUCAAGGGAAGCGUGUUCCGGUUCUACAAAGCACCAACAGGAAAGUGGGCUGCAGAGAAGGUCAUCAGUGUUCCCAGUAAGACAGUCGAAGGGUGGAUGCUACCUGAAAUGCCGGGUCUGCAUCAACACCACCUGAUAACUGGCUGCAUGGUGACAUCAGACAGUAUGACAUCAGCGACACCAGGAACCCUCGACUGGUUGGACAGGUGUUUUUGGGAGGCAGUAUCACCAGCGACGGACCAGUCCGAGUCCCGGAUGACCCAGAAAACCAGCCUCGCCCUCGUUUUAUCCAGGGGAAGCUUGUCCAUGGUGGUCCUCAGAUGUUACAGCUAAGCUUGGAUGGUCGCAGGCUUUAUGUAACUACGUCACUGUACAGUGGCUGGGACAAACAGUUCUACCCUGAAAUGCUCCGGGAGGGAUCCACGAUGAUGCAGCUCGACGUGGACUGCGUCAAGGGGGGUCUGACCCUCAACGAGAACUUCCUCGUGGACUUUGGCAAAGA